rnacentral:rRNA from 1 species
GUGUCAGCCGCCGCGGUAAUACAGAGGUCUCAAGCGUUGUUCGGAAUCACUGGGCGUAAAGGGUGCGUAGGUGGCGUGGUAAGUCAGAUGUGAAAGCCCGGGGCUCAACCUCGGAAUAGCAUCCGAUACUACCAUGCUAGAGUACUGAAGAGGUGACUAGAAUUCUCGGUGUAGCAGUGAAAUGCGUAGAUAUCGAGAGGAAUACCAACGGCGAAGGCAGGUCACUGGGCAGUUACUGACACUGAGGCACGAAGGCCAGGGGAGCAAACGGGAUUAGAUACCCCGGUAGUCCUGGCAGUAAACGGUGCACGUUUGGUGUGGGCGCAAUCGACCGCGUCCGCGCCGGAGCUAACGCGUUAAACGUGCCGCCUGGGAAGUACGGUCGCAAGAUUAAA